GUGCUCGCUUGGCAGCACAAACACUAAAAUUGGAAUAAUACAGAGAAGAUUAGCAUGGCCCCUGCAUAAGGGUGACAGGCAAGUUUGUGAAGCGUUCCACAUUGAA
ensembl:snRNA U6 U6 spliceosomal RNA